rnacentral:rRNA from 1 species
ACAUACGGCCAUAGCUUGUAGAAAGCACGGGAUCCCGUCCGCUCUCCCCUAGUUAACCUACAAAGCGCUGGAGUAGUACU